UCGAAUGAUGAACGAAGAGGAAGCUGAAGUAUUGUCAGACCUUCGACAUUGCCUAAAAAUCAUUUUAGAGGCAGAGGAGGAUAUUCUGAAGUUUUCUCGUGAUGUUAUUAAAGAUUAAAAGUUAAAAACAAGAAAGAUUUUGAUCAAGUUGUGAAGAAGCACUUCAGACAUCAUGACAUCCAGGACUUGGAACAAAGUAUAAACGAAACAGAGGUAGAGUGGGACGACC